GCGGAAGUGGCGCAAUGGCAGACGCGGCGGUCUGAGAGGCCGUUUGUUGUGGGUUCAAGUCCCGCCUUCCGCACCA
rnacentral:tRNA from 1 species